ACGCAAGGAAAGGACCCAAGUGAGGGAAACGGGGAUGACAUUAAGAGACUUGAGAAGUACCCUUGAGUAUCGAGGAGGCUUGUCGGAGGAGCUAUGAGCGAGGAAGUGUGUCGGCACAUUUAAACAAAUAAAAGAGGGGUAAUGAUGCAAAAAUACAGCUGGACUCUACAAAUGUAAAAGUUCCUUAUUGUAUAUAUUUAGUCUGCUGCAAUAUCUAUCUAUCUAUCUCUAUCGGUAUAUACUGAGGAAGUUGGAACACCUACUCGUGGAAAAGUUAGUCUGUGUGACAAACUUGCUGAGCUGGACUGAGGUCAUGACGAUGCCAGUUGACUCCAUCCCACGCUGAGUCAUUGAAAAACUCCCUGGCUGCAUUUGCUGUGUAUUUUCCGUUCGUCCUCCUGGAUUGUCCUAAAAUUGACAAGACUACUUGAAAAAUGGGGGACCAGUUGCUUCGCUGUUCACCAAGCACGGCAGAUAAAGCUAUUUAAACCAAGUCAUAGAUGAAACUAUCUAUGAUAUCUUAAUCUUAAUCUAUUUAUGUUAAACUAAGUGGGGUCUGAAAAGCACCUCUUUGGUUUGGUGAAAUACUUUAACGACAUUCAGAGAUAUUCCACGUUCAUCAGUGCUGCAACUGCAUCUUCCUAGAGUCCCAGUAGAGUUCGGCAAAUCUUUAUCUCUGAUUUGUAACUGGACUGCUUUGAGUUUUCUGGCGUAUUGGACCACAAUCAAAAUAGCCAUUAAUAAAAAGCCCAUUAGAAUUAGUGAAAUAUACAUUUUAGAUCAAAAGUUAAGAGUCUUUGUGUCAGGACUGACCUGGCCAUGGAUCUCAUGCCUUAAAGGGAUGGUUUGAAACAUUUGAAGUGUGUUGUAUGAGGCACUUAUAGUACGUGUUACCUGCAGCAGAUGGAGGUCAGCACGCCUCCAGUUUACAGAAACAAACAGGAACACCAGCAUGAAAGCUAAGCAAUGUACUGCUGUGGACGGGGACAGCAGCACAACCUAUUUUAGCCACCUAAAAUAAAUGGCCAUCUAAAAAAAACCAAAUCUGGCUCUAAGCGUACGAUGUGUUUAGAGUAUUCCAGUGUUAAAGUGGGCUGGUACUUACCGGUACGCAGUACGGGCACUUCUACAUUUGACUCUUGGGCGUACCAUGACUUGUUCCUGAGCACCUCUUCUCUCUCUGCACAUCAGCUUCACUGGCUCAUCAUUCCAACGUUUGGAGCCUCAUCUCUACAAGCUGGAGCACACACAGCACGGCAUAUAUCGACUCAUUCUUCAUGUUCUUUUUGUAAAUUGUAAACUGUUCAUCAGAACUUUUUAUUUGUGAACAAAUAUAAUCAAGUAAACAUUAUUUAAAAGUUUUCUGAAUCGGCUCUUUUGAUUUACAGAAUAUGAUUUUACAGGGUAAACUUUUCCACAGGAAUUAAAUAUUCAGAUGAAGGCUGUAAAAAUAAUAAAAUAAUAAUUCAGCUAUAACACAUUUAGUCUUUAAGCAUUCAGGGCUUUAUCUAGCAAUAAUAAUCUUCCAAAAUGAUGUAAAAUCACAUACUUUCACGUCAGAAUUCUUCAAAUUAUGAAUUCUCUUUUUUUUCACUGUAGUAAUUCAGAAUGUGUCUUUAUCUUGCUGCAUAAUAUGUACGAGCAGCAUACAUUCUAGAGCAAUAGAUAGGUGACAUAUAACAGGAAAGCCCUGUUUCAGUUUAAUAUUACUGGAGUAUUAUAGGCCGACUAUAGAACAUGCAUGGCCCAGGUAUAAUAUAUCGAUAAAGUCCCAAUGAUGACUGACAGAAGGCUGAACAUGUGAAAGAAUAAAUGAGUAGGAAUAAGGAGAGAGACAGUCAGAGGUUGCUGGUGUUGGCCGAUGUGAACAGCAUGUGAAUAAGUGGAGUAGUGGCACUCACUGGAAUAUUCCGACGGGGAACUGAACUGAAAAUGAAACGUAUCUAUAUUAUCUUUGACUUUGGAGUCUGGUGGCUUUGAAGAGAGAAUAAGUUUCACUUUCAGUUCAGCUUCCUGUUGCUGUCUGACAUUAAGGUAAAGAGGUGUAAAUAUUCUAAAUAUAGCGUACAUUGAUUGACUUUUGAUCUUUUAAGUGGCUAAAAUGUGUUUUUCUGCUGGUAUAUUGCUUUACCUCUGUGUUGGUACUCUUGUCUGUCUAAUAGGUAAUGCCGCGAUUAUGAAUUAGUACCUCAUACAACUCCAAAUAAUCCAAACUAUGCCUUUAAGAUCUUUAGUGAGCAUGGCACCUGAGUGAUGUUUGUGGAACAGAUGUAUUGCUCCCAGAGUGACUCAAGUGAUGUUUUUUCUCCACCUUUCAUCAGUCAGGACAUGUCUGUGAGGAUGGAAAUGGAUAUUAAUGGAGUGUCAAGGGCACAUGUCUCCAUUCUUCCUACAUCUGAAAUCAAAGCCACAUUGAAACCAGAAGCGGAGAGACCUCGCUGUGCCAGCACCCCGUGUUCACCUAUCAGAGGUACUGUUUCAGGGUACCAGAUCCUCCACAUGGACUCAAACUAUCUGGUAAGCUUCACCACUGGCGAGGAGCUGCUCAAGCUGGCCCACAAGUGGUCAGAAGGCACUCCAGAGAAGGGUUCUGUAUCGGAGGCCAUGACCAGCUCCGUCGAGAGCGCUGUCCCCAACUCUGUUGACUUGGGCAUCCACCGGUCUUCACGAAUCUGCAAAGGUAAAAGCCGCCACUACCAACCCUACGACAUUCCUACUACCAACGGGCGGAGACGGAGGCGUAUGCCCAGCUCGAGUGACACCUUCCUCAGGUCCCUGGCCCACGGGGAGCCUGGGAGGGGUCUGCAUGCUCCACUACCCCUCUGUCUGCUUAAAGGGAAGAGGGCCCAGUCCAAGUCUCUGGACUACCUUAAUCUGGACAAAAUAAGUAUCAAAGAAUCAUCAGACACUGAGGUGUUACAGUAUCAACUACAGCACCUCACCCUGCGAGGGGAGCGCAUGUUUACCAGAAACAAAACAUGAAGGCACAGCGGAACGCGCUCUUUAGGCGUCUUUCACCCUUUUGGGGAUUUAGGUGCUUUUUCCAGCUCUGUUGUUUAAGAAGUCUGAACUCUUGUUAUAUGAUCAACAUAAGAUCCUUUUAUCACUCCUCACAUUGUAAUGAGGUUGUUGAGGUUCAAAAAAUGUGAAAGAUAUAAACUGAGCAAUAACUGGUGAACCUAUUUAUUGACAGUGUUGUGUGUUUAUACUGAUGCAUUGAUACAUCAGCUGAAAAGGCACCAUUUCUAUCAGUCCAUUAAUAAUUGAACUGCUUAUCUGUGAGGAGUUUUGUUAGUGGAAGUUUUUAUUUUUUAUUUUGUUUUAGGUUAUGGCACUGCAUACAACUGUCAACAUGUAUUGAUUUAUUGAGAUAAGUCAAUAUCAAUGUGUUUCUAAACCUCUUGUUCACCAGAAGAUGGGCAUCUUUAAAAAAGCAAAGUGUGUAUAUAGCUGGUAAUUCAUGCGUUUCCGCCUCAUUGCACCUGAUUGCACCGUUGGAUAUCUGUGAAACGUCAGUGCCCCUUAACACCGUCACCACCAUGGCACCAACGAGGCAUUCUCAGUAAACACUGCAAUAGUGAAGACAAGCAAGCCAUGUGAACACUUCCAGGUGUGUGCAACAUUGUGUGUACACUCCUUGAGUUUCUGCACAUUUUGUUGCGCUGCUUUGAAAGGAAAAUGUGAUUUUUUUUUUAUUACAUUAAAAAUUCAAUUUAUUUCAUGAACAUGUGAUGUAUGAAGCCUCUGUGCCAAAUGUGUAUGUGAUAAUAGCAUGUUUCAAAUUGUUCUGAUGUAGAAAAUGAACUCAUCUGAGUAUAAUAGGUACAGUGUGUGUGUUAGGGUUAACCCUAACCUGGGAGGAUGACAUGUUCUCAGACAUAGCGGCUUUACAUAUAGAUUAAUUUCUGUCUAUAACACAUAGUGCACCUUCUUCACAUUUGAAUCAAUGUUAAGAACAUGAAUGUGAGAUUUAAUGAUUUUGGAUAUGUGAGUGAAUAGUAUACAUCCACAUUGAAUGAAUGUUCUAAUGAUCAAAAUGUUCUUUAUGCCCCGCCCCCACUGUAAGUCAAUGCAUUGUCAGAUCAAGAGGAAGAGCAUGAGAGACCUUCUUUUUGAAGUGUACUUCUUUCCACUAUUUACACACCAAAAAACCUGAGAGGAAAUGCUAGAUAUUUGAAAAAAAAGUGCAAAAGUUAGUGUAUCAAUAAAUGCAAAAUGUGACAAUGUAAACGGACGCGGUGAAGUAAUCAUGACAUGAAGCAUGUGACAUCCACUGAAGAGACCAAAGAUUGCAGCAGACAAAAACAUCAGGACUGUGUGGAGCGAUGACUCAAAUGAAUACAUGAAAUGCCAUAUUUUCAUUUUAAUUAUCCUAUCUCGUUGUCUUCUGUCCUCUGCAAUGGUUUAUGGCACCUGACUGGAGAAUUAACACCACCAACUUUUUAUCUUACGCCCAAAUAUUUGCAUCACAGUAGUGGAUGGAAACACAUAUUAUUUCACAUUUUCUUUUGUUGAUGUCUUGUACAUUUGCACUAAAUCUGGAUGGACAACAGUCAUAUUCUAACCAUAUAUUACGUACAAAUAAUUUCAAUUGAAAUGUUAAUUAAAUGUUAAACAGCUACCAAUGUUGAUCAAAUCAAUAGUGGUCAAAAAUAUCCACAACUGCCAAGCACAGCCCUUAUUUUGAAAAAACGUUCAAAUGAUUUAGACUUUCUUUUUUGACAUUUUUAAACUUUAAAACUUUCGGGGUGUACAAACCAUUCCACUGUACUGUAUGUAAAGUCACUCUUAUGCACUUCUAUUGAUUCCUUAAGCCAAACAGAAAAUGUACACUUGAUGUUAACCAAUGACUGUUAUAUGAUUAAAGCUUAUUUCAAACUAA